CCUACGGGAGGCAGCAGUGAGGAAUAUUGGUCAAUGGGCGCGAGCCUGAACCAGCCAAGUAGCGUGAAGGAUGACUGCCCUACGGGUUGUAAACUUCUUCUAUAAAGGAAUAAAGUGAGGCACGUGUGCCUUUUUGUAUGUACUUUAUGAAUAAGGAUCGGCUAACUCCGUGCCAGCAGCCGCUGUAAUACGGAGGAUACGAGCGUUAUCCGGAUUUAGUGGGUUUAAAGGGAGCGUAGAUGGGUUGUUAAGUCAGUUGUGAAAGUUUGCGGCUCAACCGUAGAAUUGCAAUGGAUACUGGCAGUCUUGAGUACAGUAGAGGUAGGCGGAAUGCGUGGUGUAGCGGUGAAAUGCUUAGAGAUCACGAGGAACUCCGAUUGCGAAGGCAGCUUACUAAACUGCCACUGACAUUGAGGCUCGAAAGUGUGGGUAUCAAACAGGAUUAGAUACCCUAGUAGUC
rnacentral:rRNA from 1 species